rnacentral:rRNA from 1 species
GGUUAAGCGACUAAGCGUACACGGUGGAUGCCCUGGCAGUCAGAGGCGAUGAAGGACGUGCUAAUCUGCGAUAAGCGUCGGUAAGGUGAUAUGAACCGUUAUAACCGGCGAUUUCCGAAUGGGGAAACCCAGUGUGAUUCGUCACACUAUCAUUAACUGAAUCCAUAGGUUAAUGAGGCGAACCGGGGGAACUGAAACAUCUAAGUACCCCGAGGAAAAGAAAUCAACCGAGAUUCCCCCAGUAGCGGCGAGCGAACGGGGAGCAGCCCAGAGCCUGAAUCAGUGUGUGUGUUAGUGGAAGCGUCUGGAAAGGCGCGCGAUACAGGGUGACAGCCCCGUACACAAAAAUGCACAUACUGUGAGCUCGAUGAGUAGGGCGGGACACGUGGUAUCCUGUCUGAAUAUGGGGGGACCAUCCUCCAAGGCUAAAUACUCCUGACUGACCGAUAGUGAACCAGUACCGUGAGGGAAAGGCGAAAAGAACCCCGGCGAGGGGAGUGAAAAAGAACCUGAAACCGUGUACGUACAAGCAGUGGGAGCACAGAGCAAUCUGUGUGACUGCGUACCUUUUGUAUAAUGGGUCAGCGACUUAUAUUCUGUAGCAAGGUUAACCGAAUAGGGGAGCCGAAGGGAAACCGAGUCUUAACUGGGCGUUAAGUUGCAGGGUAUAGACCCGAAACCCGGUGAUCUAGCCAUGGGCAGGUUGAAGGUUGGGUAACACUAACUGGAGGACCGAACCGACUAAUGUUGAAAAAUUAGCGGAUGACUUGUGGCUGGGGGUGAAAGGCCAAUCAAACCGGGAGAUAGCUGGUUCUCCCCGAAAGCUAUUUAGGUAGCGCCUCGUGAAUUCAUCUCCGGGGGUAGAGCACUGUUUCGGCAAGGGGGUCAUCCCGACUUACCAACCCGAUGCAAACUGCGAAUACCGGAGAAUGUUAUCACGGGAGACACACGGCGGGUGCUAACGUCCGUCGUGAAGAGGGAAACAACCCAGACCGCCAGCUAAGGUCCCAAAGUCAUGGUUAAGUGGGAAACGAUGUGGGAAGGCCCAGACAGCCAGGAUGUUGGCUUAGAAGCAGCCAUCAUUUAAAGAAAGCGUAAUAGCUCACUGGUCGAGUCGGCCUGCGCGGAAGAUGUAACGGGGCUAAACCAUGCACCGAAGCUGCGGCAGCGACGCUUAUGCGUUGUUGGGUAGGGGAGCGUUCUGUAAGCCUGCGAAGGUGUGCUGUGAGGCAUGCUGGAGGUAUCAGAAGUGCGAAUGCUGACAUAAGUAACGAUAAAGCGGGUGAAAAGCCCGCUCGCCGGAAGACCAAGGGUUCCUGUCCAACGUUAAUCGGGGCAGGGUGAGUCGACCCCUAAGGCGAGGCCGAAAGGCGUAGUCGAUGGGAAACAGGUUAAUAUUCCUGUACUUGGUGUUACUGCGAAGGGGGGACGGAGAAGGCUAUGUUGGCCGGGCGACGGUUGUCCCGGUUUAAGCGUGUAGGCUGGUUUUCCAGGCAAAUCCGGAAAAUCAAGGCUGAGGCGUGAUGACGAGGCACUACGGUGCUGAAGCAACAAAUGCCCUGCUUCCAGGAAAAGCCUCUAAGCAUCAGGUAACAUCAAAUCGUACCCCAAACCGACACAGGUGGUCAGGUAGAGAAUACCAAGGCGCUUGAGAGAACUCGGGUGAAGGAACUAGGCAAAAUGGUGCCGUAACUUCGGGAGAAGGCACGCUGAUAUGUAGGUGAAGUCCCUCGCGGAUGGAGCUGAAAUCAGUCGAAGAUACCAGCUGGCUGCAACUGUUUAUUAAAAACACAGCACUGUGCAAACACGAAAGUGGACGUAUACGGUGUGACGCCUGCCCGGUGCCGGAAGGUUAAUUGAUGGGGUUAGCGCAAGCGAAGCUCUUGAUCGAAGCCCCGGUAAACGGCGGCCGUAACUAUAACGGUCCUAAGGUAGCGAAAUUCCUUGUCGGGUAAGUUCCGACCUGCACGAAUGGCGUAAUGAUGGCCAGGCUGUCUCCACCCGAGACUCAGUGAAAUUGAACUCGCUGUGAAGAUGCAGUGUACCCGCGGCAAGACGGAAAGACCCCGUGAACCUUUACUAUAGCUUGACACUGAACAUUGAGCCUUGAUGUGUAGGAUAGGUGGGAGGCUUUGAAGUGUGGACGCCAGUCUGCAUGGAGCCGACCUUGAAAUACCACCCUUUAAUGUUUGAUGUUCUAACGUUGACCCGUAAUCCGGGUUGCGGACAGUGUCUGGUGGGUAGUUUGACUGGGGCGGUCUCCUCCUAAAGAGUAACGGAGGAGCACGAAGGUUGGCUAAUCCUGGUCGGACAUCAGGAGGUUAGUGCAAUGGCAUAAGCCAGCUUGACUGCGAGCGUGACGGCGCGAGCAGGUGCGAAAGCAGGUCAUAGUGAUCCGGUGGUUCUGAAUGGAAGGGCCAUCGCUCAACGGAUAAAAGGUACUCCGGGGAUAACAGGCUGAUACCGCCCAAGAGUUCAUAUCGACGGCGGUGUUUGGCACCUCGAUGUCGGCUCAUCACAUCCUGGGGCUGAAGUAGGUCCCAAGGGUAUGGCUGUUCGCCAUUUAAAGUGGUACGCGAGCUGGGUUUAGAACGUCGUGAGACAGUUCGGUCCCUAUCUGCCGUGGGCGCUGGAGAAUUGAGGGGGGCUGCUCCUAGUACGAGAGGACCGGAGUGGACGCAUCACUGGUGUUCGGGUUGUCAUGCCAAUGGCACUGCCCGGUAGCUAAAUGCGGAAGAGAUAAGUGCUGAAAGCAUCUAAGCACGAAACUUGCCCCGAGAUGAGUUCUCCCUGACUCCUUGAGAGUCCUGAAGGAACGUUGAAGACGACGACGUUGAUAGGCCGGGUGUGUAAGCGCAGCGAUGCGUUGAGCUAACCGGUACUAAUGAACCGUGAGGCUUAACCUU